UGUUUGUGUGUCUGUUUACAUGUGCAGAUGCUCUCGUGUGUGUGUGUGUGUGUGUGUUUUCUCUUGUUUGCAAAAGAUCUGAUCUGAAAUUGUAACUUAAAAACACAUAUUAUUACAUUUGCUAUGGCCAGACUUGAUCAUCAUCAUUGGGUUAUCACAGGAGCAGGGAGGAGAGGGGGAAUAGUUGGUUUAAUUAAUCCCCCAAUAUUUUACUGACAAUUACAUAUACAUGUAUAUAAAACUAUAACCGUCACUAAACGCAACUAAGUGUGUCCAGACAUCUACAUUGCUAGUCACGUUUAAUGAUGAUUAUAGUUUCCCUUUAUGGUAUCACAUUUCGAAUGGCUGUUUAUAUUAAUUUAUAUAUAGAUAUAUAUAUAUGCACAUAAUCAAUUGUGGUGAGAUAAGAAUAUUAAACAGAAACACACAUACACACUCAUGCAUUAUUUCCUUUAUUCUCCCUUUCCAGUAAAACAGUGCCAGUCUUUUGAUUAAAUACAAAUAGUGAGUGCAUAUAUAUCUGUGUGUAUGUAUGUGUGUGUGUGUGUGUGAUAAUUUUCAGCAAAUAUAACUAUUUAAAAUGCAAGAAUAGAGAUAGACAAACAUUUAGUUAAACAAAGAACAGACAAAGAAAUGGAUAUCUCUCUAUCUUCAUUGUAUUCUGCCCUACAUUACAACUAUUAAUUUUGCCAGUAAAUGAUACACCAUGCAUGCAGGGUAAGAUUUAUUAAUCCACGUUCAUAUGCAGAUUCU